rnacentral:rRNA from 1 species
UACGUAGGAUGCAAGCGUUGUCCGGAUUUACUGGGCGUAAAGCGCGCGCAGGCGGCACUCUAAGUACGUCGUGAAAUAUCCCGGCUCAACCGGGAGGGGUGCGAUGUAGACUAGGGGAGCUAGAGGUCGGUAGAGGGGGGGGUGGAAUUGCUGGUGUAGCGGUGAAAUGCGCAGAUAUCAGGAAGAACACCCGUGGCUAAGGCGGCUCUCUAGUACGGUACUGACGCUGAGACGCGAAAGCGUGGGGAGCGAACAGG